UGUAUCACCUGACUGGUAGGAAUGAUUCGAUUGUAUCACCUUACUGGGAGAUGAUUCAUAUUGUAUCACCUGAUCUGUAGGAAUGAUUCAUAUUGUAUAACCUGAUGGUAGGAAUGAUUCAAUUGUAUCAACAAGGUUGUAUGCGGCAUGCACUCAGAACCUAUGCACCAGAAUAUACUGUUUGGUUAAAUGUUGCUACACUCGAGAAGGAAAGAAGAUGUGUUGUUUGGGGGAUCUGUAUGUACUGUAUGUACUGUAUGUGAGAGACGUUGUGUGUGCUUGCGUAACUGUCCAGUGUGUUCCAGGCCAGUCUCGUCCCUGGGGCAUCACCUUUAGAGCCCCCCCUCAGAGUGUCUCUUCAGAGUGUCACUCCCUCCCCCCCAGCAGUCUUAACCACUCUGGCCCUGUUUCCGGGACACACAGCAGACUCCCAGUCAUCCUCAAUGUGUCCUGGUGAUGGAGAGGCUGGCAGCUGCAGGAGGAGACUGCUCAGAACAGGCUCUGGUCCACUACAAGUCAACAUUGUGAGUCAUUGCCUACCAUGUCCUAUAAUCACACUAUAUUAGCCUGUUAGCAUGUUAGCCUGUUAGCAUGUUCAGUCACAAGUCACUGGCUGCGUCUCAAAUGGGACCCUAUUCCCUAUAGAUGGGUUAGCUGACAACGUCAUGAAAACAAUGUCCGCGCUUCAAAGGGGCAGAAGGUUGUGUGUUGUUGUGAUUCUGGAUGGCCUGGUAGCUAGCAACAAGGACAAGAAACUGCUAUGUGGCGGCAGAUAGCCUAGUGCUUAAGAGCAUUAGGUCAGUAACUGAAAGAUCGCUAGUUGGAAUCUCCGAGCUGUCUUGUUUUGAGGGGUUUUAACUGAGGUCUAUGCAAAUAUGGUUAAAAUAUGCCAGCUAUCUAGCUAAUCAACAACUGUAACAAUGUAUUUGAGAGACAAAUGCGCAUUGUGCAACUUUAUUUAUGUUUUCAAUAAAGAGACAAAAUAUAGUUUACAUGCUAUCAGCAAUCUAAACCAACGCCGUCUGUUUUGCCCCAGUCUUCCUUCCGGGUUCUGGUUUUUAAUGUUUUUAUUUAUUUUAUUUCACCUUUAUUUAACCAGGUAGGCAAGUUGAGAACAAGUUCUCAUUUACAAUUGCGACCUGGCCAAGAUAAAGCAAAGCAGUUCGACACAUACAACGACACAGAGUUACACAUGUAGUAAAACAAACAUACAGUCAAUGAUACAGUAUAAACAAGUCUAUAUACGAUGUGAGCAAAUGAGGUGAGAUAAGGGAGGUAAAGGCAAAAAAAGGCCAUGGUGGCAAAGUAAAUACAAUAUAGCGAGUAAAACACUGGAAAGGUAGAUUCUCAAUGGAAGAAUGAGCAAAGUAGAAAUAAAAAUAAUGGGGUGCAAAGGAGCAAAAUAAAUAAAUAAAUUAAAUACAGUAGGGAAAGGGGUAGUUGUUUGGGCUAAAUUAUAGGUGGGCUAUGUACAGGUGCAGUAAUCUGUGAGCUGCUCUGACAGYUGGUGCUYAAAGCUAGUGAGGGAGAUAAGUGUUUCCAGUUUCAGAGAUUUUUGUAGUUCGUUCCAGUCAUUGGCAGCAGAGAACUGGAAGGAGAGGCGGCCAAAGAAAGAAUUGGUUUUGGGGGUGACUAGAGAGAUAUWCCUGCUGGAGCGUGUGCUACAGGUGGGAGAUGCUAUGGUGACCAGCGAGCUGAGAUAAGGGGGGACUUUACCUAGCAGGGUCUUGUAGAUGACAUGGAACCAGUGGGUUUGGCGACGAGUAUGAAGCGAGGUCCAGCCAACGAGAGUGUACAGGUCGCAAUGAUGGGUAGUAUAUGGGGCUUUGGUGACAAAACGGAUUGUACUGUGAUAGACUGCAUCCAAUUUGUUGAGUAGGGUAUUGGAGGCUAUUUUGUAAAUUACAUCGCCAAAGUCGAGGAUUGGUAGGAUGGUCAGUUUUACAAGGGUAUGUUUGGCAGCAUGAGUGAAGGAUGCUUUGUUGCGAAAUAGGAAGCCAAUUCUAGAUUUAACUUUGGAUUGGAGAUGUUUGAUAUGGGUCUGGAAGGAGAGUUUACAGUCUAACCAGACACCUAGGUAUUUGUAGUUGUCCACAUAUUCUAAGUCAGAGCCAUCCAGAGUAGUGAUGUUGGACAGGCGGGCAGGUGCAGGUAGUGAUCGGUUGAAGAACAUGCAUUUAGUUUUACUUGUAGGCCACGGAAGGAGAGUUGUAUGGCAUUGAAGCUUGCCUGGAGGGUUGUUAACAGAGUGUCCAAAGAAGGGCCAGAAGUAUACAGAAUGGUGUCGUCUGCGUAGAGGUGGAUCAGAGGCUCACCAGCAGCAAGAGCGACCUCAUUGAUGUAUACAGAGAAGAGAGUCAGUCCAAGAAUUGAACCCUGUGGCACCCCCAUAGAGACUGCCAGAGGUCCGGACAGCAGACCCUCCGAUUUGACACACUGAACUCUAUCAGAGAAGUAGUUGGUGAACCAGGCGAGGCAAUCAUUAGAGAAACCAAGGCUGUCGAGUCUGCUGAUGGAUGGCUUGAUGGUUUGAUGGAGACAUUCAGGGAAUAUCUCUGCAAUGCAGUUCAACAGUCUUCCUUCAGGGUUCAGUUAAACAGUCUUCCUUCCGGGUUCAGUUCAACAGUUUCCCUUCAGGGUUCAGUUCAACAGUUUUUCUUCAGGGUUCUGGUUUGAGAAACAUAUUUGAAAGAAAAAAUGUGGCCUAUGUAUUUCAUCCAGCAGGUCAUCUGCCGUAGGGCCCAGAUCCAUUAACCUCUACCUCAUCACUCUCUGUUCUUUCGCUUUCAUCUCUCUCUCUCUCUCUCUCGCUGUUCUUUGUCAUCUCUCUCAGUUGUCUCUCUCAUCUCUCUGUUCUCUCUGUCACCUCUAUCUGUUCUCUCUCUCAUCUGUCUCGCCUUUGGGACCUAGACCCAGAAUCUCAGAGAAAGGCCCUUUGAUGAAGACGGGGCCCCAAGGGACCUUAACUGAAGGAGAGACUAUUUUCUCUCCAU
ensembl:lncRNA